UAGUAUUAAUAGUUAUGAUCUUUAAAUUAAAAGAAUUUGGCGGUAAUCUAGUCUGUUCAGAGGAAUCUGCCCUGUAAUUGAUAUUCCACGAUGAAUUUUACUUUACCUAUGCUUGUAUAUCUCUGUCAUUGAAUGUCCUAUUAGGGUAUUUUCUUUAAUCUUUAAUGUGUAAGAUGUCAGGUCAAGGUGCAGCGAUGGUGAAGAAGAGGUGGAUUACAUUAAAUUUAUUUAUGGAUAGUGAAUAUGGAAAUUUUCUUGAAAUUGGAUUUGAAAGUAAUUUCUAU
rnacentral:rRNA from 1 species